rnacentral:rRNA from 1 species
ACGCACGCUGGCGGCGUGCUUAACCCCUGCAAGUCGAACGGAAAGGCCCUGCUUUUGUGGGGUGCUCGAGUGGCGAACGGGUGAGUAACACGUGAGUAACCUGCCCUUGACUUUGGGAUAACUUCAGGAAACUGGGGCUAAUACCGGAUAGGAGCUCCUGCUGCAUGGUGGGGGUUGGAAAGUUUCGGCGGUUGGGGAUGGACUCGCGGCUUAUCAGCUUGUUGGUGGGGUAGUGGCAUACCAAGGCUUUGACGGGUAGCCGGCCUGAGAGGGUGACCGGCCACAUUGGGACUGAGAUACGGCCCAGACUCCUACGGGAGGCAGCAGUGGGGAAUAUUGCACAAUGGGCGGAAGCCUGAUGCAGCAACGCCGCGUGCGGGAUGACGGCCUUCGGGUUGUAAACCGCUUUCGCCUGUGACGAAGCGUGAGUGACGGUAAUGGGUAAAGAAGCACCGGCUAACUACGUG